rnacentral:rRNA from 1 species
UAUAAUUUAAUGGCCGCGGUAUUAAUGACCGUGCAAAGGUAGCAUAAUCAUUAGUCUUUUAAUUGAAGGCUUGUAUGAAUGGUUGGACAAAAGGAAAACUGUCUUCUUUAAUAUAAAUUGAAUUUAACUUUUAAGUGAAAAGGCUUAAAUAUUUCAGAGGGACGAUAAGACCCUAUAAAGCAUUGUGUUGGGGUAACAAAAGUAUAAUUAGUAACUGUUUAGUUUAUAUACAGGUAUAUUUGAAGUGAUCCUUAUUUAAAGAUUUUAAGAUUAAGUUACUUUAGGGAUAACAGCGUAAUUUUUUUAGAGAGUUCCUAUCGAAAAAAGAGUUUGCGACCUCGAUGUUGAAUUAAAAUUUCUAUAUAGUGGAGCUAUUAUAUAAGGAGGUCUGUUCGACCUUUAAUUUUUU